GACGAACGCUGGCGGCGUGCCUAAUACAUGCCAGUAGAACGCACAGUUUAUACCGUAGCUUGCUACACCAUAAACUGUGAGUUGCGAACGGGUGAGUAACGCGUAGGUAACCUGCCUGGUAGCGGGGGAUAACUAUUGGAAACGAUAGCUAAUACCGCAUAAUAUUGAUUAUUGCAUGAUAAUUGAUUGGAAGAUGCUAUUGCAUCACUACCAGAUGGACCUGCGUUGUAUUAGCUAGUAGGUGUGGUAACGGCUCACCUAGGCGACGAUACAUAGCCGACCUGAGAGGGUGAUCGGCCACACUGGGACUGAGACACGGCCCAGACUCCUACGGGAGGCAGCAGUAGGGAAUCUUCGGCAAUGGACGAAAGUCUGACCGAGCAACGCCGCGUGAGUGAAGAAGGGUUUCGGAUCGUAAAGCUCUGUUGUAAGAGAAGAACGGGUGUGAGAGUGGAAAGUUCACACUGUGACGGUAUCUUACCGGAAAGGGACGGCUAACUACGUG
rnacentral:rRNA from 1 species